CAAUAGUGUAUGCUAACAUUGUUGCAGUUAAAAAGCUCGUAGUCGAAUUUUUAAGGGAAUCAAUUUUAUGUGGUCUCAAAGAACUACAAAAAAGAUGAUUUAUCUUAUUUUAUGCUUGUUCAUCGUUGGAAUUCGUUUUCUGAUGGUGAUGUGAGUUUGUGUUUACUUUGAGAAAAUUAGAGUGUUCAAAACAGUCUUAUGGCUUUAUAUUAAAGCAUGGAAUGAUACAUAAUGACAUUGGUUAAUUUUUGUUGGUUUCAGUGGCUGAUGUAAUGAUUUAUAGAGUCAGUCGGAGGUAUUAGUAUUUUGUCGUUAGAAGUGAAAUUCUGGGAUCGACAAAAGACUAACAACUGCAAAAGCAUUUGCCUAGAAUUUGCUCCUUGAUCAAGAACGUAAGUUGGGGGAUCGAAGACGAUCAGAUACCA
rnacentral:rRNA from 1 species